GUUAAAAAGCUCGUAGUCGAAUUUUUAAGGGAAUCAAUUUUAUGUGGUCUUAAUGAACUGCAAAGGAAGAUGAUUUAUCUUAUUUUAUGCUUUUGCACCAUUGGAAUUCGUUUUCUGAUAGUGGAGUAAGUUUGUGUUUACUUUGAGAAAAUUAGAGUGUUCAAAGCAGUCUUACGGCUUUAUAUUAAAGCAUGGAAUGAUAAAUAAUGACAUCGGUAAAUUUUUGUUGGUUUGAGAGACUGAUGUAAUGAUUUAUAGAGUUAGUCGGAGGUAUUAGUAUUUUAUCGUUAGAAGUGAAAUUCUGGGAUCGACAAAAGACUAACAACUGCGAAAGCAUUUACCUAGAAUGUGCUCCUUGAUCCAGAACGAAAGUUGGGGGAUCGAAGACGAUCAGAUACCGUCGUAGUCUCAACUUUUAAACUAUAUC
rnacentral:rRNA from 1 species